rnacentral:rRNA from 1 species
GAUGAACGCUGGCGGCGUGCUUAACACAUGCAAGUCGAACGGACAGAUCCGGCGCUUGCUCCUUGCACGUGAGCGGCGCGCGUGUGAGUAACACGUGUAUCCCCUCCCUGUAAGACUGGUAUCACUUCGAGACACCGGAUCUAAUACCAUAUAACCUCUAGCACCGCAUGGUUGUAUGGAGAGUUAGGGCGGUGGGGGCUCGACUCGCGGCUUAUCCGCUUGUUGGUGGGGUAGUGGCGUACCAAGGCUAUGACGGGUAGCCGGCCUGGGAGGGGGACCGGCCACAAUGGGACUGAGAUACGGCCCAGACGCCUACGGGAGGCAGCAGUGGGGAAUAUUGCGCAAUGGGCGGAAGCCUGAUGCAGCAACGCCGCGUGCGGGAUGACGGCCUUCGGGUUGUAAACCGCUUUCGCCUGUGACGAAGCGUGAGUGACGGUAAUGGGUAAAGAAGCACCGGCUAACUACGUG